rnacentral:rRNA from 1 species
CCCUUAGAUGUUCUGGGCCGCACGCGCGCUACAAUGGUCUUCGCAAACGGAUGCAUUCUCGAAGGAGAAUGCCAAUCUUGGAAUCUAUGCCUUGGUCGGGACAGUUGCUUGCAAUUUUUCGACUCGAACCAGGAAUUCCUUGUAAUCGUGAUUCAUCACAUCACGAUGAAUACGUCCCUUCCCUUUGUACACACCGCCCGUCGCUCCUACCGAUCGAAGAGUUAGGUGAAUUGUUUUGAUCGAUAAGAUUUGACUAUGGUCAACUCUCGUUGUGAAAUUCUGUGAAUCUGACUGUUUAGAGGAAGGAAAAGUCGUAACA